rnacentral:rRNA from 1 species
GUUAAGCGACUAAGCGUACACGGUGGAUGCCCUGGCAGUCAGAGGCGAUGAAGGACGUGCUAAUCUGCGAUAAGCGUCGGUAAGGUGAUAUGAACCGUUAUAACCGGCGAUUUCCGAAUGGGGAAACCCAGUGUGUUUCGACACACUAUCAUUAACUGAAUCCAUAGGUUAAUGAGGCGAACCGGGGGAACUGAAACAUCUAAGUACCCCGAGGAAAAGAAAUCAACCGAGAUUCCCCCAGUAGCGGCGAGCGAACGGGGAGCAGCCCAGAGCCUGAAUCAGUGUGUGUGUUAGUGGAAGCGUCUGGAAAGGCGCGCGAUACAGGGUGACAGCCCCGUACACAAAAAUGCACAUGCUGUGAGCUCGAUGAGUAGGGCGGGACACGUGGUAUCCUGUCUGAAUAUGGGGGGACCAUCCUCCAAGGCUAAAUACUCCUGACUGACCGAUAGUGAACCAGUACCGUGAGGGAAAGGCGAAAAGAACCCCGGCGAGGGGAGUGAAAAAGAACCUGAAACCGUGUACGUACAAGCAGUGGGAGCACAGAGCAAUCUGUGUGACUGCGUACCUUUUGUAUAAUGGGUCAGCGACUUAUAUUCUGUAGCAAGGUUAACCGAAUAGGGGAGCCGAAGGGAAACCGAGUCUUAACUGGGCGUUAAGUUGCAGGGUAUAGACCCGAAACCCGGUGAUCUAGCCAUGGGCAGGUUGAAGGUUGGGUAACACUAACUGGAGGACCGAACCGACUAAUGUUGAAAAAUUAGCGGAUGACUUGUGGCUGGGGGUGAAAGGCCAAUCAAACCGGGAGAUAGCUGGUUCUCCCCGAAAGCUAUUUAGGUAGCGCCUCGUGAAUUCAUCUCCGGGGGUAGAGCACUGUUUCGGCAAGGGGGUCAUCCCGACUUACCAACCCGAUGCAAACUGCGAAUACCGGAGAAUGUUAUCACGGGAGACACACGGCGGGUGCUAACGUCCGUCGUGAAGAGGGAAACAACCCAGACCGCCAGCUAAGGUCCCAAAGUCAUGGUUAAGUGGGAAACGAUGUGGGAAGGCCCAGACAGCCAGGAUGUUGGCUUAGAAGCAGCCAUCAUUUAAAGAAAGCGUAAUAGCUCACUGGUCGAGUCGGCCUGCGCGGAAGAUGUAACGGGGCUAAACCAUGCACCGAAGCUGCGGCAGCGACGCUUAUGCGUUGUUGGGUAGGGGAGCGUUCUGUAAGCCUGUGAAGGUGUGCUGUGAGGCAUGCUGGAGGUAUCAGAAGUGCGAAUGCUGACAUAAGUAACGAUAAAGCGGGUGAAAAGCCCGCUCGCCGGAAGACCAAGGGUUCCUGUCCAACGUUAAUCGGGGCAGGGUGAGUCGACCCCUAAGGCGAGGCCGAAAGGCGUAGUCGAUGGGAAACAGGUUAAUAUUCCUGUACUUGGUGUUACUGCGAAGGGGGGACGGAGAAGGCUAUGUUGGCCGGGCGACGGUUGUCCCGGUUUAAGCGUGUAGGCUGGUUUUCCAGGCAAAUCCGGAAAAUCAAGGCUGAGGCGUGAUGACGAGGCACUACGGUGCUGAAGCAACAAAUGCCCUGCUUCCAGGAAAAGCCUCUAAGCAUCAGGUAACAUCAAAUCGUACCCCAAACCGACACAGGUGGUCAGGUAGAGAAUACCAAGGCGCUUGAGAGAACUCGGGUGAAGGAACUAGGCAAAAUGGUGCCGUAACUUCGGGAGAA